AAGGAAAACUGAAGGUAAGGGUAUCAAUCUUUCCCAAAUAAUGGAAUGCAGUGGAGUUGUCCCCAACGGACUGUGGUAUCCACAGCCCCGAGGGAGUAGAACCCCUAUACUGUCACAUCCAUUGGAAUUCUCUAUACUUGCACCCGAACGGGCAAAGUGCUCAUAUCUGGGAUGGUAACGUAUGGAAGAGAACUCAUUGGGAGAGUGGAUGGGUCAACACGAGUGUUUGGGGUCGGUCAACGCGAGUUUUUGGGGUCGGUCAACGCUAGUGGUUGGGUUCGG
rnacentral:lncRNA from 1 species